rnacentral:rRNA from 1 species
UGGGGAAUAUUGGUCAAUGGGCGAAAGCCUGAACCAGCAAUGCCGUGUGGGUGAUGAAGCUUUUCGGAGCGUAAAGCCCUUUUGAGAGGGAAGAAAUGCAGAAUGAGGAUAAUGCUUUCUGUUUGACGGUACCUCUCGAAUAAGCCCCGGCUAACUCCGUGCCAGCAGCCGCGGUAAUACGGAGGGGGCAAGCGUUGUUCGGAAUCACUGGGCGUAAAGGGCGCGUAGGCGGCUUUAUGAGUCAGAUGUGAAAUCCCUAGGCUCAACUUAGGAAUUGCGUUUGAUACCAUAUUGCUUGAGGCCGGGAGAGGGAAGCGGAAUUCCUGGUGUAGCGGUGAAAUGCGUAGAUAUCAGGAGGAACACCGGUGGCGAAGGCGGCUUCCUGGACCGGAUCUGACGCUAAUGCGCGAAAGCGUGGGUAGCAAACG